GGAGGAAAAGAAACCAACCGGGAUUGCCUUAGUAACGGCGAGUGAAGCGGCAAAAGCUCAAAUUUGAAAUCUGGUACCUUCGGUGCCCGAGUUGUAAUUUGGAGAGGGCAACUUUGGGGCCGUUCCUUGUCUAUGUUCCUUGGAACAGGACGUCAUAGAGGGUGAGAAUCCCGUGUGGCGAGGAGUGCGGUUCUUUGUAAAGUGCCUUCGAAGAGUCGAGUUGUUUGGGAAUGCAGCUCUAAGUGGGUGGUAAAUUCCAUCUAAAGCUAAAUAUUGGCGAGAGACCGAUAGCGAACAAGUACAGUGAUGGAAAGAUGAAAAGAACUUUGAAAAGAGAGUGAAAAAGUACGUGAAAUUGUUGAAAGGGAAGGGCAUUUGAUCAGACAUGGUGUUUUGUGCCCUCUGCUCCUUGUGGGUAGGGGAAUCUCGCAUUUCACUGGGCCAGCAUCAGUUUUGGUGGCAGGAUAAAUCCAUAGGAAUGUAGCUUGCCUCGGUAAGUAUUAUAGCCUGUGGGAAUACUGCCAGCUGGGACUGAGGACUGCGACGUAAGUCAAGGAUG
rnacentral:rRNA from 1 species